GAUCAUGUAGUUUAAUAAAAACAUUAGAUUGCAAAUCUAAUAAUGGGAUUCCCAUGAUCU
rnacentral:tRNA from 1 species